rnacentral:snRNA from 1 species
ACACUUACCUUGCAGGGGAGAUACCAUAUUCACAACAGUGAUUUUCACAAGGGUGAAACUCAUCCAUUGCAUUCUAAAUGUAUUGAUCCCUGAAAUUUUCCCAAAUACAGUGGGGAACUAUGUUCACGUACUCCCUU